GUCCACGCCGUAAACGGUGGGUGCUAGGUGUGGGGAACAUUCCACGUUCUCCGUGCCGCAGCUAACGCAUUAAGCACCCCGCCUGGGGAGUACGGCCGCAAGGCUAAAACUCAAAGGAAUUGACGGGGGCCCGCACAAGCGGCGGAGCAUGCGGUUUAAUUCGAUGCAACGCGAAGAACCUUACCAAGGUUUGACAUAAAGGGAAACUCAUAGAGAUAUGAGGUCCGCAAGGGCCCUUUACAGGUGGUGCAUGGCUGUCGU
rnacentral:rRNA from 1 species